UACGGGGGGGGCAAGCGUUGUUCGGAAUUACUGGGCGUAAAGGGCUCGUAGGCGGCCAACUAAGUCGGACGUGAAAUCCCUCGGCUUAACCGGGGAACUGCGUCCGAUACUGGAUGGCUCGAGUUUGGGAGAGGGAUGCGGAAUUCCAGGUGUAGCGGUGAAAUGCGUAGAUAUCUGGAGGAACACCGGUGGCGAAGGCGGCAUCCUGGACCAAUACUGACGCUGAAGCGCGAAAGCCAGGGGAGCAAACGGG
rnacentral:rRNA from 1 species